rnacentral:lncRNA from 1 species
AUGUGUUCCAUUCUCACAUGCACCAUUUACCCUUCAUGUAACCGUCAUCAAGAUUCCUCACAGCCGCCAUUCUCAAACUUUAUCUGAAGUUGAUGACGAAUAUGAAGAUCCCCUUUCCGGCCAGCCCUAUCAACAUUUGAAUUAAGAAGCCCACCCACAGACAUAUAAGAAUGUUGCUCAGUUGACGCAUGUGAGUGAAAUGGAAAAAAAGAUAGAAGCUUUGUGUAAUCUCUUUUCG